AGGAUCUCACAGCUUCUAUCAGGACUUUAACAGUAUUUUAGAGUCAAAUAUCUUUCAUAGGAAAUACAAGAUUACAGACCCGACUGUGACACAUGAUUACAGUUCUGUCUAAACCAGUUUCUCUGUGUGCAUUUUUCAUGCAUGUAUUCAGAGUGGCUGCAUGAAUUUUGCGAGGCGGGGGCUCUCCAGGAGCCCCCCACACCCCAGCAGGGGAUCAGCAGCAUGAUGUGCACCACUGCUGACCACAGUCUGCUCACAAGCAGCCACAAGGAGGACCGACAGAGCAGGCUGGCAGCUUCACCUGCAAGGCCUGAGGCUGCUGAGAGGAAGAAGGUAGAUGAAUUGAUUGUAGGGGACAGACGAAGAGUGGGGGCUGCGGCUUCCACAGAAACAGCUGAUCGCUAUGGACUAGGUCAGUGCUGUUUUACAUACUUUACUGGAAGACUGAGGAUGGACCUGAUAGAUAGAUAUGAAGAGACCAGAGCAAACUGUGCUAAACCGGGAAUUAUACUUUACACCAAAAAGGGCAAUGAACUGUGUGUCGAUCCCAGCAAUCGCUGGGUUCAGAACGUGAAGCAGAAGCUGGAUCAGCAGUAACGCUUCCUGUCUGCCUGGCAAAACAUGAAGAAUGAAUUUUAUUACAUUUCUGGUUCUGCUGAAAUUCUCAUAUGACAUUACUUUCUGUCAUAAUCAAAAUCAUUUUAAUUUCUGCUGCAUUUUAUACUUCAAUAUCUUCAGCUUAUAUAUUUUUAAAACAUCAGUCAAAUUUCAGUUACACUCAUAUUCCUUUGCAUGCAUGUAACUGAUUAAA